CCUACGGGUGGCAGCAGUGAGGAAUAUUGGUCAAUGGGCGAGAGCCUGAACCAGCCAAGUCGCGUGAAGGAUGACGGCCCUACGGGUUGUACACUUCUUUUGUCAGGGAGCAAUUGGGUCCACGCGUGGGCUUAGCGAGAGUACCUGAAGAAAAAGCAGCGGCUAACUCCGUGCCAGCCGGCGCGGUAAUACGGAGGAUGCGAGCGGUAUCCGGAUUUAUUGGGUUUACAGGGUGCGUAGGUGGAAUAUCAAGUCAGCGGUAAAAAUACGGGGACAAACCCCGUCGUGCCGUUGAAACUGAUGUUAUUGAGUGGGCGAGAAGUAUGCGGAAUGCGUGGUGUAGCGGUGAACUGCAGAGAUAUCACGCAGAACUCCGAUUGCGAAGGCAGCAUACCGGCGCCCAACUGACGCUGAAGCACGAACGCGUGGGUAUCGAACAGGAUUAGAUACCCGAGUAGUC
rnacentral:rRNA from 1 species